UUGGAAUGAGUAGAAUUCAAAUCCCUUUACGAGUAUCGAUUGGAGGGCAAGUCUGGUGCCAGCAGCCGCGGUAAUUCCAGCUCCAAUAGCGUAUAUUAAAGUUGUUGCGGCUAAAAAGCUCGUAGUUGGAUUUCUGUUGAAGUCGGGCGGUGUGCACCUCGUGCAUUAUUUGCUUCGGUUUUGGCAUCCUCUUGGGGAACGUUCCGGACUUUAUUGGACGGGCGGGAUUCAGGACUUUUACUUUGAGGAAAUUAGAGUGUUCACGGCAGGCAAGUGCUUUGAAUAUAUUAGCAUGGAAUAAUGAUAUAGGACCUUGGUACUAUUUUGUUGGUUUGCGCACUAAGGUAAUGAUUAAGAGGGACAGUUGGGGGUAUUUGUAUUCCAUUGUCAGAGGUGAAAUUCUUGGAUUUUUGGAAGACAAACUACUGCGAAAGCAUUUACCAAGGAUGUUUUCAUUAAUCAAGAACGAAAGUUAGGGGAUCAAAGACGAUCAGAUACCGUCCUAGUCUUAACCAUAAACUAUGCCGACUCGGGAUCGGAGGCACGCAAAAUCGGUCUUC
rnacentral:rRNA from 1 species